rnacentral:rRNA from 1 species
ACGGGGGGAGCAAGCGUUGUUCGGAUUUACUGGGCGUAAAGGGCGCGUAGGCGGCCACCGCAAGUCGACUGUGAAAUCUCUGGGCUUAACCCAGAACGGCCAAGUGAAGCUGUUGUGCUAGAGUGCAGAAGGGGCAAUCGGAAUUCUCGGUGUAGCGGUGAAAUGCGUAGAUAUCGAGAGGAACACCUGAGGUGAAGACGGGUUGCUGGGCUGACACUGACGCUGAGGCGCGAAAGCCAGGGGAGCAAACAGGA